rnacentral:sRNA from 1 species
AAGAAGAAAGAAAACUGUAGAGUGA